CUACGGGCUGCAGCAGUCGAGAAUCUUCUGCAAUGCUCGAAAGAGUGACAGAGCGAGCCAGAGUGUUUCUCGUUUUUUCGAGAAACUUUUGUUAGCUUUAAAAAGGCUGAUGAAUAAGGACCGGGUAAGACUGGUGCCAGCCGCCGCGGUAAUACCAGCGGUCCAAGUUGCAACCAUAAUUAUUGGGUCUAAAACAUCCGUAGCUUGUUUAGUAAGUUUUUUGUGAAAUUUCAUGUCUCAAACAUGAAGCGAGCAAAAAAUACUGCUUUGCUUGAGACCGGAAGACGUAAGGAGUACAACCAAGGUAGUAGUAAAAUACGUUGAUCUUGGUUGGACUAACAAUAGCGAAGGCACCUUACGAGUACGGAUCUGACAGUGAGGGAUGAAGGCUAGGGUCGCGAAAUGGAUUAGAUACCCGCGUAGUC
rnacentral:rRNA from 1 species